rnacentral:rRNA from 1 species
ACGGAAGGCAGCAGUGGGGAAUGUUGGACAAUGGGGGAAACCCUGAUCCAGCGACGCCGCGUGAGUGAAGAAGUAUUUCGGUAUGUAAAGCUCUAUCAGCAAGGAAGAAAAUGACGGUACUUGACUAAGAAGCUCCGGCUAAAUACGUGCCAGCAGCCGCGGUAAUACGUAUGGAGCAAGCGUUAUCCGGAUUUACUGGGUGUAAAGGGAGCGUAGACGGCAAAGCAAGUCUGAAGUGAAAUCCCGGGGCUCAACCCCGGAACUGCUUUGGAAACUGUUUAGCUAGAGUGCAGGAGAGGUAAGCGGAAUUCCUAGUGUAGCGGUGAAAUUCGUAGAUAUUAGGAGGAACACCAGUGGCGAAGGCGGCUUACUGGACUGUAACUGACGUUGAGGCUCGAAAGCGUGGGGAGCAAACAGGAUUAGAUACCCUGGUA